GAUGAACGCUGGCGGCGUGCCUAAUACAUGCAAGUCGAGCGAACGGACGAGAAGCUUGCUUCUCUGAUGUUAGCGGCGGACGGGUGAGUAACACGUGGAUAACCUACCUAUAAGACUGGGAUAACUUCGGGAAACCGGAGCUAAUACCGGAUAAUAUUUUGAACCGCAUGGUUCAAAAGUGAAAGACGGUCUUGCUGUCACUUAUAGAUGGAUCCGCGCUGCAUUAGCUAGUUGGUAAGGUAACGGCUUACCAAGGCAACGAUGCAUAGCCGACCUGGGGGGCUGAUCGGCCACACUGGAACUUAGACACGGUCCAGACUCCUACGGGAGGCAGCAGUAGGGAAUCUUCCGCAAUGGGCGAAAGCCUGACGGAGCAACGCCGCGUGAGUGAUGAAGGUCUUCGGAUCGUAAAACUCUGUUAUUAGGGAAGAACAUAUGUUUAAGUAACUGUGCACAUCUUGACGGUACCUAAUCAGAAAGCCACGGCUAACUACGUG
rnacentral:rRNA from 1 species